UCCUACGGGAGGCAGCAGUGGGGAAUCUUGGGCAAGGGGGCAAAGCCUGAUCCAGCACAACCGGGGCAACCAAGAAGGCCUUCGGGUUGUAAAGCACUUUUGUCCGGAAAGAAAUCCUUGUCUUUAAUACAGUCGGGGGAUGACGGUACCGGAAGAAUAAGCCCCGGCUAACUCCGUGCCAGCAGCCGCGGUAAUACGUAGGGGGCGAGCGUUAAUCGGAAUUACUGGGCGUAAAGCGUGCGCAGGCGGUUUGCUAAGUCCGAUGUGAAAUCCCCGGGCUCAACCUGGGAACUGCAUUGGUGACUGGCAGGCUAGAGUAUGGCAGAGGGGGGUAGAAUUCCACGUGUAGCAGUGAAAUGCGUAGAGAUGUGGAGGAANACCCAUGGNGAAGGCAGCCUCCACUGGGCCANAUACUGACGCUCAUGCACG
rnacentral:rRNA from 1 species